GGUGUCCUCCUACAUGCACUUUUGGUGGGCUUGCUCCCAUUUCAAGGUGAUUCUUUGGAAUCUAUAUUCAGUGCAAUUAAGGAGGAGAACCUUGAUUUCAGUGGUGGAGCUUGGGCAUCUGUAUCACAACCAGCUCGUGAUCUGCUUUCUUGCAUGAUGACAAGGGAUGUCUCAGCAAGGUACAGUGCUGACGAAGUACUAAGACAUCCAUGGAUUUUGUUUUACACUGCACCCACAUUGAAGAAUCAUGCAAAGCCAAUUAGAAGCCAG
rnacentral:misc_RNA from 1 species